rnacentral:rRNA from 1 species
AGAACGAACGCUGGCGGCAUGCCUAACACAUGCAAGUCGAACGAGACCUUCGGGUCUAGUGGCGCACGGGUGCGUAACGCGUGGGAAUCUGCCCUUAGGUACGGAAUAACAGUGAGAAAUUACUGCUAAUACCGUAUGAUGUCUUCGGACCAAAGAUUUAUCGCCUAGGGAUGAGCCCGCGUUGGAUUAGCUAGUUGGUGGGGUAAAGGCCUACCAAGGCGACGAUCCAUAGCUGGUCUGAGAGGAUGAUCAGCCACACUGGGACUGAGACACGGCCCAGACUCCUACGGGAGGCAGCAGUGGGGAAUAUUGGACAAUGGGCGAAAGCCUGAUCCAGCAAUGCCGCGUGAGUGAAGAAGGCCUUAGGGUUGUAAAGCUCUUUUACCCGGGAAGAUAAUGACUGUACCGGGAGAAGUAAGCCCCGGCUAACUCCGCGCCAGCAGCCGC